GAUGAACGCUAGCUACAGGCUUAACACAUGCAAGUCGAGGGGUAGCAGGGUAGCAAUACCGCAGACGACCGGCGCACGGGUGAGUAACACGUAUCCAACCUUCCCAUAACUCGGGGAUAGCCUUUCGAAAGAAAGAUUAAUACCCGAUAGUACUUUUUCAUGGCAUCUUGAAAAAGUUAAAGAUUUAUUGGUUAUGGAUGGGGAUGCGUUCCAUUAGAUAGUUGGUGAGGUAACGGCUCACCAAGUCUUCGAUGGAUAGGGGUUCUGAGAGGAAGGUCCCCCACAUUGGUACUGAGACACGGACCAAACUCCUGCGGGAGGCAGCAGUGAGGAAUAUUGGUCAAUGGGCGAGAGCCUGAACCAGCCAAGUAGCGUGAAGGAUGAAGGUCCUAUGGAUUGUAAACUUCUUUUAUAGUAGAAUAAAGUGAUCCACGUGUGGAUUUUUGUAUGUAUACUAUGAAUAAGGAUCGGCUAACUCCGUGCCAGCCGCUGCCGUAAAAC
rnacentral:rRNA from 1 species